UGCGUAGGUAGUUUCUUAAGUCAGAGGUGAAAGGCUACGGCUCAACCGUAGUAAGCCUUUGAAACUGGGAAACUUGAGUGCAGGAGAGGAGAGUGGAAUUCCUAGUGUAGCGGUGAAAUGCGUAGAUAUUAGGAGGAACACCAGUUGCGAAGGCGGCUCUCUGGACUGUAACUGACACUGAGGCACGAAAGCGUGGGGAGCAAACAG
rnacentral:rRNA from 1 species